GUAUCAGGACCUGUCGAUAGAUGGGAUGGACCCACCCGUUUGACUCUUAUGAAUUGAUAGUUAGAUACUAUUGCUAAAGGAAAGUAAAGAUAGUGGUUUGUGUUGCAAAAAGCUAGUUCAAGGUCAGGCUCCGUCAAACAGAGUCGUCAAGAACGAAAAGCUGAAAGAAUGAUGUGUCAAACAGUGAUUGCGCACAGAGGUUAGUUAAGUAUAGGAACUAUUGUCCCUAACGAGAAGUAUGCUGCUGUCCCAAUAAAAGGAUAGUUGGACGGUAUCGAUUGAGGGAAUAGGGAUAGGUGGUUAAACGCGAUGCUGCGCCUAACUAUAUAGAACGGUGAUCCAUGAAGAGAAGUCGGCCAGCUAUUAAGUCAGAGAAGUCAUCAACCUAUUACUAGUGUCAGUUCUGUUAAGAGAAGUCAUCAACCUAUUACUAGUGUCAGUUCUCUUCUUCCUCUCUACCAAUUGAAAGUAAGUAUUGAUUUCGCCUAAUAGGGACAAAGCAAAGUAGGGUGGUCAAGUACAGUAUGCCUGGAGUUCGUAGUGCCCACUAGAUAUCAUUGGCAAGUUAUAGAAGUCUUUCUCUCUUCUGAGAUAUCAUUGGUCAGUGCAGCGAGGGGCAACCAUCAUUUCUAUUGCUCUGUAAAGAAAAGAUAGGACAAGGGUCUUGCUCCACCCAAUGGAGAUAAAGCACGGGGAUCCGUUAAGGGCGUAUUGAAUCGAUAAGAAGCACUUGAAUUCUAGUGGGCCCGGCUACCCAACACUAGCCCCGGAUCAUUUAUGUAUUAUCAAUUGAUAGUAGGGGCAGGCAGGGGAAACUCUUUAUAUC
rnacentral:lncRNA from 1 species